CUGACACAGAGACACAUAUGGACACUUUGUAGCCUGUUUACACUCUUGCUGGUUCCACCUGUGCAGAAACCUGUUGCCCGUUUCCAGCAGCUGUUUAAAUGUUUCCCUUUAAAGCACUUUCACUGAAUGUCCCUUUCUCGUAGGUCUCCAGUGCCGCAGAGCAUCAGGUGUUGGAUAUUUCACUAGCAGCGCACAGCUCUGGAACGGCAUACAGCAUGCAUGAGUGACCUCAGAGUGAGAGAAAACAGACAAUUUCCACACACACACACACACACCAAGUGAAAACAGACAAGUGAAAGUGUGAGGAAUCCCUGAGACGUAAAAACUCUAGGAACGCAACAUGAGCAAUGAAAUCUAAAGAAAAGAACGGCUGUAUACGCGCUCCUCUGCUGAAUCAAUACUGAACAGAGAGUCAGGCCAGAGAUGUGGCCUUCACGAUGAACGAGGACAAACCGAUUGUGUGUGAAAACUGAGUGUUCGAGACAUCCAUCACCAACACUGCAGGAACUGAUCAGACUGUACGAUCAGUCAAACCGCUGAGAACCAAACAUGAGCAACACAUCUCUGGAGCUCACAAAGGGACAAGAUGUCUAAUGCUGGUUAUGAAUAAGAGAGUUUUUCUUUGUCUAGCACUGGAUCUGGUAAUAUAGAGAGCAGAUGAAGAGGGUCGUCAGAAAUGUAGAUUGGGGCAAGAUGGAAGACGCCAGUAAUGAGGUAAAGAAGAAUCAACUAACAACAACAAGAAGUUCCCAAACUCCUGAGAUCAAAUUCACAUAAAUUCACAAAAUAAAUAUUGGAUGCAAAAGGGAACUGCUAUUGUGAAUCAGUCAAGUCAAUCGACGAUUGUUGAAUAUGUUAAAAACCAACAGAGAAUUUAGUAAUGUGGUCCAAAAUUUUAAGA